rnacentral:rRNA from 1 species
GACGAACGCUGGCGGCGUGCUUAACACAUGCAAGUCGAACGCUGAAGCUUGGUGCUUGCACUGGGUGGGUGAGUGGCGAACGGGUGAGUAAUACGUGAGUAACCUGCCCUUGACUCUGGGAUAAGCCUGGGAAACUGGGUCUAAUACUGGAUACGACAUGUCACCGCAUGGUGGUGUGUGGAAAGGGGUUUACUGGUUUUGGAUGGGCUAACGGCCUAUCAGCUUGUUGGGUGGGUAAUGGCUCACCAUGGCGACGACGGGUAGCCGGCCUGAGAGGGUGACCGGCCACACUGGGACUGAGACACGGCCCAGACUCCUACGGGAGGCAGCAGGGGGGAAUAUUGCACAAUGGGCGGAAGCCUGAUGCAGCGACGCCGCGUGAGGGAUGACGGCCUUCGGGUUGUAAACCUCUUUCAGCACGGAAGAAGCGAAAGUGACGGUACGUGCAGAAGAAGCGCCGGCUAACUACGUG